UACGGGAGGCAGCAGUGGGGAAUAUUGGACAAUGGGCGCAAGCCUGAUCCAGCCAUACCGCGUGGGUGAAGAAGGCCUUCGGGUUGUAAAGCCCUUUUGUUGGGAAAGAAAAGCAGUCGGCUAAUACCCGGUUGUUCUGACGGUACCCAAAGAAUAAGCACCGGCUAACUUCGUGCCAGCAGCCGCGGUAAUACGAAGGGUGCAAGCGUUACUCGGAAUUACUGGGCGUAAAGCGUGCGUAGGUGGUUGUUUAAGUCUGUUGUGAAAGCCCUGGGCUCAACCUGGGAAUUGCAGUGGAUACUGGGCGACUAGAGUGUGGUAGAGGGUAGUGGAAUUCCCGGUGUAGCAGUGAAAUGCGUAGAGAUCGGGAGGAACAUCCAUGGCGAAGGCAGCUACCUGGACCAACACUGACACUGAGGCACGAAAGCGUGGGGAGCAAACAGGAUUAGAUACCCUGGUAGUCCACGCCCUAAACGAUGCGAACUGGAUGUUGGGUGCAAUUUGGCACGCAGUAUCGAAGCUAACGCGUUAAGUUCGCCGCCUGGGGAGUACGGUCGCAAGACUGAAACUCAAAGGAAUUGACGG
rnacentral:rRNA from 1 species